rnacentral:lncRNA from 1 species
AAAACUCCAAUCAAGCUACCGAAAUUCACCAGAAACUGCCCCUUUCAUCGCAAAAUUCCACUGCCCAUAACCUCCAGAACUCCCAUAAGCAACAAAAAUUACAGCACAAUAGUUGCGAAAAAUUGCCAAAUCUCCCCUAGAUAAACAUCCUCUCUCCAGCAGCAACACAUUCAUUCCAAUAUAAACACAUAAAUAACAACCAAUUAUUUGAAUCAGCUGGCAAUUUUAAGGAUAAUUUUAUUCCAAAAAAAUUAGAGAAGUAAAAGUGAUAUAAGCCCAAACUCAU